rnacentral:misc_RNA from 1 species
GAAAUGCGAUAACUAAUGUGAAUUGCAGAUCACGUGAAUCAUCGAGUCUUUGAACGCAUCUUGCACUCUGUGGUAUUCCGCAGAGUACGCUUGUUUGAGUAUCAGUUUUACCCCUCAAACUUCGGUUUGGAUCUGAGCUAUGUGUUGCAAAGCACUGGCUUAAAAUUGAUCUGGCUUUGCUUUUGAUUGGCCAAGGCGAGAUAGUAGGCUUUGCCUUCUUCUAGCUGAGAGUUGAUCUUGAGAUUGGAGCCAUUAAACCCAACUCCUCAGCUUAACGGCUGUGAACUUGAUCUCAAAUCAAGCGAGACUACCCGCUGAACUUCAGC